AUAAGCAACUAAAUUGGGAACUGAAUUAGGUCCAAAAUUCAUUUGAGGCUUCUGACAACUUGUUUAGGGAUGUAAUUGCUCUGGUGCUGGCAAGUUCUGUAAUCCAAGAGACGCUUAAGAAAAACUGAGCUUUGCAAAAGAAAGAGGGAAAUAAUAAGUUUGAAUUAAGAGUUCACUCAGAGUUCCCCUUGUGGUUCAGUGGGAAGCCAACUACUAUCCAUGAGGAUGUGGGUUCGAUCUUAGGCCUCACUCAGUGUGUCAAGGAUCCGGUGUUGCCGUGAGCUGUGGUGUAGGUCACAGACGUGGCUCUGGAUCCUGUGUUGCUGUGGCUGUGACGUAGCCCAGCAGCGACAGCUGGGAUUCAGCCCCAAGCCUGGAAACCUCCAUACUCUGGGGGUGCGGCCAUAAAAAGCAAAAACAACAACAACAAGCCUCAUUCUACCGCACACUUUAUUAUGACUAUUUUUCAAACAUCCGGCAAAGCUCAAAGAAUUUCUCCAGCAAGUACUUGUGCCCGAGCCACCCCAGUCAGCACAUGAUGACAGUACUGGCUUUAUCAUAGUUCGAGUCUCUUUCCAACUCUCUCCCCACCUGAGAAGUAAUUUUGUAAUUAGAUGAAUAACCACAUUGCUCUGGGGACUCUCUGGAGGGAAAGUGCAGACUGAGACUUAAUUUCCAAGUUCAUCAGCCCAGGAUAGAAACCCUUCACCACUGGCCCCCCGCCGCUGUGAUAGCCUGAUAUAAGAAGACGUGUAUUUGGUCUGUGCCCCCUUCCUGGCUCAGAGAUCCUAAAACCCCCUGGAAUUUUUUCCUAAGUGGUGAGAGCUAAAGAGGUGUCUAGAUCUCCAGAACAAACCACACCUGCGUUUAUGUUAAUGCCUGAUUUUUGGAAAUCACUAAGGAUGGGGCUGGUUGUCAGGGGAAACAACCCUGUGAUUGGAGGCUUGGAACGUUCAGUCCCACCCCCCACGCUUCCAGGAGGUGAGGGGCUGGCCAGCCAUUGAAUCAGGCAUGCCUGGUGCCGAAGCCUCCAUAGAAACCCAGAAACGCUGGGCUCAGAAAGAGUCUAGGUUGGUGCAGAGGCGUCGGUUCGGGGAGCGUGGCGCCGGAAGAGGAUUUGAAUGCUCCGCACCCCUUCCCCACACCUCACCCUGCGCCUCUUCCUCCUGGCUGUUAUCUAGUAAGUAACAUGUUUUUCUGAGUUCUCUGAGCCGCUCUAGCGAAUCCUUUAAACCCAAGGAGGAGGGUUUUGGGUCCCCUGGUUCAUAGCCUGCAGGUCACAGGUGAUCUUCUGAGUUUGUGAUUGGAGCCUGGAAAGCAGGGUGGUUUUGUAGGGCCGAGCCUGAACCUGUGGAGUGAGUGCUGCCUCUGAGGAGAUAGUAGCAGAAUCGGCUUGAGUUGUAGGACACCCAGCUGCGAGCGGAGCGAGGAUUGCUCGGCGUGGGACCACCCACGUGUUGGAAGUGAAAUCUGAAUCUUCCUCAUCUCCACCCCACCCUCUGCCAACACAUUUCUCCCUUUCAUUGCCCCUGAGGUUUGUCCCCAACCCAAGUAUUGCUUUUCAGAAGAAAAAAGCCUCCGUUCUCUAAAAGAGUUAGCCUUCUUUUGCAAUCUCCAUAGUGUUUUAAACAGCACUUUAUUUUUUGACACUUGCCACAUUGUCCUCAGAUUCCCUGCCAUGUGUCUGUCUCCUGCACUGACUGAGAGACCCUGGGGACCUCUGGGAACUUGGUCUUACUAUCUUCAGGUUCCCUUUGGCACCCAGCACAAGCCCAUACACGUUGGCGCAAAUACGCAUUGUGGCUCUCAUUCUGUUCCAACUAGAAACAUGAAACAAUAUCAUGUCUAAGCAGGUGUUUUUCUAAAGAGUGGAUAAAAAUA
ensembl:lncRNA